rnacentral:rRNA from 1 species
ACUUUUUGGUUUUGUAAUUGGAAUGAGUUAAGUAUAAACCCCUUUACAAGUAUCAAUUGGAGGGCAAGUCUGGUGCCAGCAGCCGCGGUAAUUCCAGCUCCAAUAGCGUAUAUUAAAGUUGUUGCAGUUAAAAAGCUCGUAGUUGGAUUUCUGUUAAUAAUUUAUAUAAAAUAUUUUGAUGAAUAUUUAUAUAAUAUUAACAUAAUUCAUAUUACUGUAUAUUUUAGUAUAUGAAAUUUUACUUUGA